rnacentral:rRNA from 1 species
GAUGAACGCUGGCGGCGUGCCUAAUACACGCAAGUCGAGCGAAUGGAUUAAGAGCUUGCUCUUAUGAAGUUAGCGGCGGACGGGUGAGUAACACGUGGGUAACCUGCCCAUAAGACUGGGAUAACUCCGGGAAACCGGGGCUAAUACCGGAUAACAUUUUGAACCGCAUGGUUCGAAAUUGAAAGGCGGCUUCGGCUGUCACUUAUGGAUGAACCCGCCUCGCAUUAGCUAGUUGGUGAGGUAACGGCCCACCAAGGCAACGAUGGGUAGCCUAGCUGCGAGGGUGAGCGGCCACCCUGGGUCUGAGACACGGCCCAGACUCCUUCGAGAGGCAGCAGUGGGGAAUCUUCCUCCAUGGACGAAAUUCUGACGGAGCAACGCGGCGUGAGUGACAGAGGCUUUCGGGUCGUAAAACUCUGUUGUUUGGGAAGAACAAGUGCUAGUUGAAUAAGCUGGCACCUUGACGGUACCUAACCAGAAAGCCACGGCUAACUACGUGCCAGCCGCCGCAGUAA